rnacentral:rRNA from 1 species
UACGUAGGCGGAAGCGGCAGUGUCUUGUGAAAUCCCACGGCUCAACCGUGGAACUGCAGGGCAUACUUCGUUUCUUGAGGUCGGUAGAGGUUGCCGGAACUGUAGGUGUAGCGGUGAAAUGCGUAGAUAUCUACAGGAACGCCAAAGGAGAAGUCAGGCAACUGGGCCGAUUCUGACGCUGAGGUACGAAAGCGUGGGGAGCAAACAGGAUUAGAUACCCUGGUAGUCC